CAGCCUGCUAGAAUCUGUAAUGUCGGAGGCUUUAAGACCCAGGGGGUACUAUUUACAAACGGAGCCCUUCUGCAGUCAGUCAUUGCUGCGUCUAAUGUUUACAGCCAUGAGUUCCUGCCACCCUCACUUUCUUCUGUCUUUAAUUUCUCUUUUUUCUUUGGCGGCAGGCCAAUUUGGCGAAACUAAGCUGCAGGAUCGCCCGUUUGCGGUAUUGCAGCAUCAGAACCUGGCUCUGCUGCUGAGUGUGCUCAGCGUCCUGCUGGUGAUCAUGGUGCUGAUGGCAGUCUGCGUGUACAGACCCCUGUACCGCCGAUAGCCGCUGUCCAGAGCUGGGACUCGUUGAAGAAUGGCAGUGCCAGGCUGUGGGCAUCUCUGCACAUGAGCCAGCCUUACAAUGACAGUGCACCGCAAGUUAGUCUUGACCUGCAAGCUUCAGCCUUUCAAAGCAGUCUGCCGGGUAUGUGUUACCUGCAGAUGUGCGUGCUUACCCUUACUGUAAUUCAUUCUAUGGCCUUACUCCACAGCCUGUCAUUAUGUUUCUUUGUGAAGCCCCUUUACCUUGUGUUUCUACCCCCAAAAAAAUCCUGUUCAGUAUUGGAGGGCCUUGGAAAGUAUUAUUUUUAUGCUUGGAAAAUGCAUAUCCCAUUGCACUGAAUAUUCAUUUUUCUGCAUUUGCGUAAAUUGGAUUUGCACGCUUUUGUGAAUCAAUUCGGAGCUUUCUUGGUGACCUUCUUCGUUGCAUUCUCCUUUCUCAAGUAUGAUUCCAUUCGAAGAAGGAAUCCAUGGGUUUAUCCAAAACAGUGGUUCCAAACGCUAGUCCUGAUGUUUUUUUAUAUAUAUAACUGAGAUCUAAAUCCUCAGUGCUAAUUGACGACUUAAUUGAUGUGUUUUCUUGUUUAGACUUUCAGCUUGUUUCUUCUGUAAGUCAUAAGUGUCAAAAAAGCCCUACUUCAGGAAUAGUCCUACAACUUCAGAACACAGAACGCAGCCUUUCCUCAACUUGUAGUUAUAGCUAGAACUAGAGCAACCAGCUCAUACCAGUUGAUUAAUUUACAAUGAACAAACACCUGUGGCGAUGACACUAUCAAACAUGCCCACAUUGGAGAUGUCACUGUCUCAUUUCAUGCCCACAGUGGGAAUAACACAAUGAGACAUGCCUAUAUUGGAGAUGUCACUGUAAUAGAUACACCCACAGUGGGAGUAACAGACAUGCCCACAUUGGAGAUGUCACUGUCUCAGACAUGCCUACAGUGGAUGUGGCACAAUCAGACACGCCCACAUUGGAGAUGUCACUCUAACAGAAGUGACUGAACAGAAACGCCCAGUGUUUUUUUCCUUCUGCAGACCAUUUGGCGUAGUCAGGCAGCACACCUGCAUGAGAGCCCUUCUGAAACUCAGAAAUAAGUGCAGAGCUGAUUACAAAUUCCAUUUGACUUUUUAAGAGCUAAAAGCAAAUUUGUGACAAAAAGCUUAAAUCCAUUAUCCUGUGAUUAAGAACCUAGCUGACACAGAAAACAGAAUGAGCGGUGUUCCUCCAGGACCAGGGUUGGGAACCACUGCUCUAAAAGACAAUCCUGGCCAAUUAUUUGUAAGGCAUGUGUUUGCAGUAUAUGAGCAGCUUAGGUAUGCCAUACUUUUGAAAAGCUGACAAUUUUAAGAAGAAUGUAGCAAUAUCUACAUUUUCUGGUUUUAUUUAUGUUUUUAGAGAAAUCUACAGAUGGUUGAUUUUUGUUGUAAGGAGAAUUACAUUUUCACCAUUAUUUAUAUGCACACGACCAUCACAAAGGACUUUUUUGAUUGUUUUAUUUGUGUAUAUUAUGUAGUAAUGCACUACUGGAACUAACUGGAUGUACUGUAACAGCCUACUGUGAUUACUGGUUAAUGGGACCUUCUUUGUUUUAAAUUUUCAUUUCAUCUCAUCAUUUUGUGCAUAAAAGCUGAUACUUGAUUAGUGCUGUUUGAACUGCACUUUUGUUAGAUGUGACUUUUAGAUUUUUAUGUGCAUUAUUUUAACCAGUAAUGUUGUUUGGUUUGUCCUUAUUUAUUCUGACAUGUUACUGUGACAUGCUUUUGAGCAUUGUCAUCCCACAGAGUGGACAUGAUGUCAAACUUCUGCAAUGUGAAAAGAAAUUCACGGGCCUUUAAUAACUUGCUCAUAUUUGGAUUACUGCGGUUUCAUUUCACUUCCUUUGCGGGGUGGUAUGGAAUGAAUAUUGACACGGUAAAUAAGGCACAAGCAGUAUUGUGCUGGAUUCUAAAAGGCAGGAGGUCCUACAAGAUGAGCCUAAAAAAAAACGUUUUUGUCUUUGUUUUUAAAUGUAACCAUUAACCUCAGUGUACGGGAUAUACUUCCAUGAUGGAAUUUAAACACUAGAUGACAGUAAAAUGAAACAAUUAAAAACUUUGCUUCAAUUAAA